rnacentral:rRNA from 1 species
GUCUAAGGCCAUGCUACCCUGAACAAGCCCGAUCUCUUCUGAUCUCCGAAGCUAAGCAAGGUUGGGCCUGGUUAGUACUUGGAUGGGAGAUCACCUAAGAAGACCGGGUGCUGUAGACA